AAAGAAAGUAAGCAAGGGCGCAUGGCGGAUGCCUUGGCUCUCGGAGGCGAUGAAGGACGUGAUAAGCUGCGAUAAGCUUCGGGCAGGUGCAAAUAACCUUUGAUCCGAAGAUUUCCGAAUGGGACAACCCGUCAUUCUGAAGGAAUGACAUCUUGCAUAGCAAGAGGCUAACGCAGGGAACUGAAACAUCUUAGUACCUGUAGGAAAAGAAAAUAAUAAUGAUUCCCCUAGUAGUGGCGAGCGAACGGGGAUUAGCCCAAACCAAUGUUGUUACGGCAAUAUUGGGGUUGUAGGACCACGAUGUCGCAAGAAGUUUAGUGAGAAGAACCCUUUGGAAAAUGGGACCAUAGACGGUGAUAGUCCGGUAUUCGAAGCUAAAUGAAGCGUAGUGGUAUCCUGAGUAGCGCGGGACACGAGGAAUCUUGCGUGAAUCUGCCGGGACCAUCCGGUAAGGCUAAAUACUCCCGAGAGACCGAUAGCGAACCAGUACUGUGAAGGAAAGGUGAAAAGCACUUCGAAUAGAAGAGUGAAAUAGUCCCUGAAACCGUGCGCCUACAAGCGGUCGGAGCUGCUUCAGCAGUGACGGCGUGCCUUUUGCAUAAUGAACCUACGAGUUACUUUUUCCGGCAAGGUUAAGGAUCUUGAGAUCCGCAGCCGAAGCGAAAGCGAGUCUUAAUAGGGCGAUUAGUCGGAAGGAGUAGACGCGAAACCAAGUGAUCUACCCUUGGUCAGGUUGAAGGUUAGGUAACACUAACUGGAGGACCGAACCGAUAAGCGUUGAAAAGCUUCCGGAUGAACUGAGGGUGGGGGUGAAAGGCUAAUCAAACUUGGAGAUAGCUCGUACUCCCCGAAAUGCAUUUAGGUGCAGCCUUGGGAAUUACUACUGUGAGGUAGAGCGACUGAUAAGAUGCGAGGGCUUCACCGCCUAUCAAGUCUUGAUAAACUCCGAAUGCGCAGUAGUUCGAUCCCAGGAGUGAGGGCAUGGGUGCUAAGGUCCAUGUCCUAAAGGAGAAGAAUCCAGACCAUCAGCUAAGGUCCCGAAAUAAUUGCUAAGUUGAACUAACGAAGUCAGAUUGCUAAGACAGCUAGGAUGUUGGCUUGGAAGCAGCCAUUCAUUUAAAGAGUGCGUAACAGCUCACUAGUCGAGGAGUUUGGCGUGGAUAAUAAUCGGGCAUUAAGCAAUUUACCGAAGCUAUGGGAUGUUAACUAAACACUAACAUCGGUAGGGGAGCAUUCCACUCUGCGUCGAAGGUGAAGCGUGAGCUUUGCUGGAGCGUGUGGAAAAGCAAAUGUAGGUAUAAGUAACGAUAAAGGGGGUGAGAAACCCCCUCGCCGAAAGACUAAGGUUUCCUGAUCAACGCUAAUCGGAUCAGGGUUAGUCGGGUCCUAAGGCUCAGCCGAACGGUGAGGCCGAUGGCAGAACAGGUUAAUAUUCCUGUACUACCUUAAGGAGUGACGUGGAGACGGAGGAGUGACAACGCCGCGGACUGACGGAAUAGUCCGUUGAAGGGUGUAGAUGUUGAUUAUCCCAGGCAAAUCCGGGAUAAGAGUCGAACCUGAUAGUAUACCAAAUUCUUCGGAAUAAGGUAAUAGUGCGUGUAAGCAUACUCCCAAGAAAAUCCGCUAAACUUAAUCUUUAAGGUACCCGUACCGCAAACGGACACACGUAGUCGGGUUGAAUAUACUAAGGCGCUUGAGUGAUUCACGGUUAAGGAACUAGGCAAAUUGACCCUGUAACUUCGGGAUAAAGGGUCCCAACGAGAGUUGGGCGCAGAGAAUAGGUCCAGGCAACUGUUUAACAAAAACACAGGGCUGUGCUAAAUUGAAAGAUUACGUAUACAGCCUGACACCUGCCCGGUGCUGGAAGGUUAAGAGGAGAUGUCAUCGCAAGAGAAGCAUUGAAUUGAAGCCCCAGUAAACGGCGGCCGUAACUAUAACGGUCCUAAGGUAGCGAAAUUCCUUGUCGGGUAAGUUCCGACCUGCACGAAUGGUGUAAUGAUCUGGACACUGUCUCAACCGUGAGCUCAGUGAAAUUGUAGUAUCGGUGAAGAUGCCGAUUACCCGCGAUGGGACGAAAAGACCCCGUGAACCUUUACUAUAGCUUAACAUUGAAUUUGGGUAAUUGAUGUGUAGGAUAGGCCGGAGACUUUGAAGCAGGUACGCCAGUAUUUGUGGAGUCGCUGUUGAAAUACGGCCCUUUGAUUAUUUGAGUUCUAACUCGUAGAUACGAGGACACUGUUUGGUGGGUAGUUUGACUGGGGUGGUCGCCUCCAAAAGUGUAACGGAGGCUUCUAAAGGUGCCCUCAGGACGAUUGGUAACCGUCCGUAGAGUGUAAUGGCAUAAGGGCGCUUGACUGGGAGACAGACAAGUCGAUCAGGUAGGAAACUAGAGCAUAGUGAUCCGGUGUUUCCGUAUGGAAGGGACAUCGCUCAAAGGAUAAAAGGUACUCCGGGGAUAACAGGCUGAUCCCUCCCAAGAGCUCAUAUCGACGGAGGGGUUUGGCACCUCGAUGUCGGCUCGUCACAUCCUGGGGCUGGAGAAGGUCCCAAGGGUUGGGCUGUUCGCCCAUUAAAGUGGCACGCGAGCUGGGUUCAGAACGUCGUGAGACAGUUCGGUCUCUAUCUAUCGUGGGCGUAUGAAAUUUGCGUGGCUCUGACACUAGUACGAGAGGACCGUGUUGGACUGACCGCUGGUUUACCAGUUGUGCCGCCAGGUGCAUUGCUGGGUAUCUAAGUCGGGAUUGGAUAAGUGCUGAAAGCAUCUAAGUACGAAGCCAGCCACAAGAUUAGAUUUCUUAGGGUCGUCAAAGACGAUGACGUUGAUAGGAUGCAGGUGUAAAGGUGGUAACAUCAAAGCCGAGCAUUACUAAUUGCCCGUUCACUUUCUUU
rnacentral:rRNA from 3 species